rnacentral:rRNA from 1 species
CCUACGGGAGGCAGCAGUGGGGAAUAUUGGGCAAUGGGCGCAAGCCUGACCCAGCAACGCCGCGUGAAGGAAGAAGGCUUUCGGGUUGUAAACUUCUUUUCUCAGGGACGAAGCAAGUGACGGUACCUGAGGAAUAAGCCACGGCUAACUACGUGCCAGCAGCCGCGGUAAUACGUAGGUGGCAAGCGUUAUCCGGAUUUACUGUGUGUAAAGGGCGUGUAGGCUGGAAAGCAAGUCAGAUGUGAAAACCAUGGGCUCAACCUGUGGCCUGCAUUUGAAACUGUUUUUCUUGAGUACUGGGGAGGCAGACGGAAUUCCUAGUGUAGCGGUGAAAUGCGUAGAUAUUAGGAGGAACACCAGUGGCGAAGGCGGUCUGCUGGACAGCAACUGACGCUGAGGCGCGAAAGCGUGGGGAGCAAACAGGAUUAGAUACCCCAGUAGUC